GGAGUCACAUUAACUUCUUUUGCAGCAACUUUCCUUUUCCACAUUAAAUCCUUGUUCAGUUCUUUCCUGAAUAUCUUCUCAUGAAAGAGAAAGUGUUUCAAGAUGAUGCCCACUUCACUUUGACAUUCCUGGUGCCCAGCACAGUGCUCAAUACAGAAAAAACAAUAAAUCAG
rnacentral:lncRNA from 1 species